ensembl:snoRNA U3 Small nucleolar RNA U3
AAGACUAUACUUUCAGGGAUCAUUUCUAUAGUGUCCAACUAGAGAAGUGCACUCGAAAGUGAUCGGUCGAGCGAACCACGAGGAGGAGUCAAAGCGUCCUCUUCUGAGCGCGAAGCGAGUGGGCAGUGCUGCCUAGUGCGGCUGCUGCCCGCGAUUGAUGACCGUUCUGGCUCCCUUUCCGAAGGGAGUUGGAGGGAGAGGAUGCAGACUGAGUGGU